GCUCCUACCGAUUGGAUGACUCGGUGAAAUCACCGGAUCCACAUAGUGGAGAAAGUGAUUAAAUCACGUUAUCUAGAGGAAGGAGAAGUCGUAACAAGGUAAC
rnacentral:rRNA from 1 species